AGGAAAAACAAAGAUGAAAAAUGACAGUGUAUUGAAAGAGCCGCAGAUUUUUACAGAGUGAUUACUAGCUCUACAACUUGUUUAUCCAGUUCUGAAACAAAGGUUUCUUUAAGAAACAUCACAGAAUGUUCCGGAGAGUGUGUUAUAAAAGAGAAUUCGAGGGAGGAUAAUUACAUACGUAUACACAUCAAGUACGACACUGAUAUUAUUUUGAAGCUAGAAAGCAAGAAAAAUUACGAUUGCGGAUACAGUUCUAAAAACAUGUAUGUCGAAUGCACCAUAAAUCAAAAGACACAAGGAUCAUUAGAAACAUGCAUAAUUGAUCAGUGCAUCAACAGAAGAACCAAUGAGUCGAAACAAGGAAAUGG